GGAUCCCCUCCCUAAAAAGAAUCCUAGGAACAGUCAUUCCCAACUCCUCUUUCUCUAACAAAAACAGAACCCCCUCCUCUAACAAAACCUAGCCGCCACCUCCAUCUUCUCCCACACUCACCCUUCAUUCUCAGCAAAGAUAGAUGAAGAUUCGGACCUCCCCCUUUUACUAACCCUAGCCGCCGCCCCUAAUUCCCUAAGACUCUAAGAGACAACACUGACACAAAGAGAGAUAGGAAGAUUCCAUUCACUCGCACUCUACUGCGCUCACCAAAUGCACACACAGACACACUCAUAUAUAAACAAAGGGAGGCGUCUGAAAUUUUAUUACAGAUUCAAAUUAAAACGGAAAGCAAGAGUUUGUUUUUAAAUUCAAACUUGUAGCUGAGAUGUGAGAGAAUAAAAGUUCCAAAAACAGAGGAAAAUUGGGAUUUUAAAAGGGAUUCUGAAGGUAUUACUACUGGUGCGGAUUGCUUUCUACUUUUUGGGUUUUGGGAGACCAAUUCGGUCUCAAAUCGUUGUUUGUUGUUGUUUGUACUGGAACUGCUAGCUGGCCAAGAAAGGUCUAUGCAAUUCAAAAUGUCUAGCUAGAGUCUGAGCUUUAUAUCACUUGCUAUCUUCUGCACUCAGAUUCACUUUCGUCUUAAGUUCCUAAGAAGUUUUAAGUGCCGGAAAGAUUGAGUCAAGUCUUGACUGCCGCACAGUGGGCGAACCUCGGGCAGAAAUUCGGGCAUAGAAAAUCACCCUUGUGACACCUACCAUGGUAGUGAUGGGUGACGGAGAAUUAGGGUUCGAUUCCGGAGAGGGAGCUUGAGAAACGGCACGCGCAAACUACCCAAUCCUGACACAGGGAGGCAGUGACAAUAACGGCUUGUUUGGAUGGUUGUUACCCAUUGUAUUGUAUCGUAUUGUUACUUUAAGUACAAUUUUUGUUUUGAUUAUUACUUAUUUAUUGUAUCGUAUCGUUAAAUCCGUCGUUGCGAAACGACGAAAGGUACUACUUUAUGGAACGACGGAUUUGGUGUGGUAGCGUCGUUACCUUGUUUUGUUCUCUCAUCUUGCCCUUCCUUAUUAAUAAAAUAAUUAUAUUUUAUCUUUUA